AUGUGAUGCUCAGGGAAGAUACCUAUUGUAUAGAUUUGGAGCUGGAUAGGAAUUUUAGAAAUGGACCUUGAACUCACUUUACAACUGAAAAAACAGGUUCAGAGAAGAUCAUACAGGUUCCUUCCAUCUUUAAAUUCUGUGGAAUAGGAAGCAAAUCUUCUGUGAUCAAAACAACAACAACAAAAUAAGAUAUGCUUCCUUAUUGGUCCUCUGGAAUGUUGAAUAAGAUUUUUAUUGCUUAUAUACACUGAAGAAUAAAACUCUCAAAUGUCAAAAGAAAAUAUUUCAGUGAUGAGAAAACAAGGUAAGUUAUUCCAGGUUCUAGAAAAAGUUAGACAACUUCUAUAGGAAAC